rnacentral:rRNA from 1 species
CCUACGGGAGGCAGCAGUGGGGAAUAUUGCACAAUGGGGGAAACCCUGAUGCAGCGACGCCGCGUGAGUGAAGAAGUAUUUCGGUAUGUAAAGCUCUAUCAGCAGGGAAGAAAUAGCGACCUUUGGGUCGCCAGACGGUACCUGACUAAGAAGCCCCGGCUAACUACGUACCAGCAGCCGCGGUAAUACGUAGGGGGCAAGCGUUAUCCGGAUUUACUGGGUGGAAAGGGAGCGUAGACGGCAGCACCAGUCUGAAGUGAAAUGCCGGGGCUUAAACCCGGAACUGCUUUGGAAACUGUGCAGCUAGAGUGCAGGAGAGGUAAGUGGAAUUCCGAGUGUAGCGGUGAAAUGCGUAGAUAUUAGGAGGAACACCAGUGGCGAAGGCGGCUUACUGGACUGUAACUGACGUUGAGGCUCGAAAGCGUGGGGAGCAAACAGGAUUAGAUACCCCGGUAGUC